UGUCAUCCGCAUAGCAAUGCAUGCCAUC
rnacentral:sRNA from 1 species